rnacentral:misc_RNA from 1 species
CUCUCUCUCAAACACCCACACAAGCAUUCAUUGAUGAAAAUGCUGAUUGUAGCCUUGUAGUUCUGAGUUCUUCUUGCUCAUCUUCUGGUUUUUUAAUUACCCAUCAUUGAUCACACAGGAGAGAUUCAAGAAAAAAAAAAGGGAUAGAAAUACUCAUUCUGGUUAGUGGAUAAGACCCUUCUUAAUCUUCCCCAAUGUUUAAGGAAAAUUCCCACCAGAGAGACCUAAUCUAUCCCUUUAGAUAAGAGAGAAAAUUUAUCCACUAAAUCUGGGCACUUAGCUGGUGAUCUCUACUAUACCCUCUCUCCUACAAAAAUAAACACGUUUUUUUUUUUUUUGGUUGAAUGAGUUCUCUUCAGUUUCUCUUUCUUAAACUGAACAAGCUUUAAAAUUUGAAAUUGAAGCUCCCUAUAUAUUAUUUACGUCUAAUACUUCUUUUUAUUUAUCGAAAUAUAUAUAUAUAUAUACUGGGUGGUAGUAGUAGUAGUAGAAGACGUAGUAGUAGAAAUAGUUGGUCGGGGUUGUUCUUGUUCUUGUAUUGUUCAUGGACUGCUUGAGAGAAAUAGAAGGCAAACAAGCUCAUGAUCCUAUAUUCAUUGAAAAAAUGAAUAAAUCUUCAACACGCUGUGUAUGCGUCCCUGGUCCGGUGAUCGUCGGGGCAGGCCCGUCGGGGCUAGCCGUGGCAGCUUGCCUGAAAGAAAGAGGUGUACCGAGUACGGUCCUAGAGAGAUCCAACUGCAUAGCAUCUUUAUGGCAGCUAAAGACUUAUGAUCGCCUUCGGCUUCACUUGCCAAAACAAUUCUGCGAGCUUCCUCUCAUGGGGUUCCCUACUGAAUUUCCAACUUACCCUAGUAAGCAACAAUUUAUUGACUACUUAGAAAAAUAUGCAGAAAAGUUCGAUGUUAGGCCACGGUUCAAUGAGACUGUGUCACACGCAGAAUUUGAUCAAGUUCUUGGAUUUUGGCGCGUGAGGACUGUUGGGCCAAAGGUGGAGGAAACGGAGUAUGUGUGCCGGUGGGUGGUGGUGGCCACCGGAGAGAAUGCAGAGGCCGUGGUGCCAGAGAUUGAAGGAAUGGGUGAAUUUGGAAGCGAUAUAAGACAUACAAGUUUGUAUAAAAGUGGAGAAGAGUUUACAGGAAAAAGGGUUUUGGUGGUUGGAUGUGGGAAUUCAGGAAUGGAGGUUUGUCUAGAUCUAUGCAAUCAUAGUGCCAAGCCUUCACUUGUGGUCAGAGAUACGGUGCAUAUUCUACCAAGAGAGAUGCUGGGAAAAUCAACUUUCGGGCUGUCGAUGUGGUUGCUAAAGUGGCUGCCCAUGAGGCUUGUGGAUCGGUUCCUGCUGGUAGUGUCAAGGUUGAUGCUCGGAGAUACGGCGAGAUUGGGAUUGGAGCGGCCACAAUUGGGACCCCUUGAACUCAAGAACUUGUCCGGGAAGACCCCAGUAUUAGAUGUUGGGACACUGGCCAGAAUCAAAAGUGGAGACGUUAAGGUAUGUCCAGGUAUUAAGAGGCUGAAACGACAUAGUGUAGUUUUUGUUAAUGGGAAAACGGAGAACUUCGAUGCCAUUAUCUUAGCAACAGGUUACAAAAGCAAUGUACCAUCUUGGCUAAAGGAAGGAGACAUGUUCUCGGAGAAAGAUGGGUUGCCAAGAAGGCCAUUUCCAAAUGGGUGGAAAGGUGAGUGUGGGCUAUAUGCAGUGGGGUUCACUAAACGUGGAAUUCUUGGUGCUUCAAUCGAUGCCAAGAGAAUAGCUGAAGAUAUUGAAAGGUGUUGGAAAGCAGAAGCAAAACAUUCUAUGGCCUUUGCUAGGUCACUUCUGCCUCUGUCAUCACCAUGAAUUUUUGGUUUUUGAAUUCUAUACAUAUCUAUAUAUAGAGAGAAGAUUUCUUUUGGAGUAUUAUAGGAGAUUGGAGGGUUUUUCUUCUAUGGUGCCAAUUGACACAAUGUUGGCACCAAAGUUAGUGCUUCUCCAAUAGAGGAAAUGAACAGAAAAGAAAAAAAAAAGGAAGGUAUAAAGGGUGACAGUCAUAGCUGGGAGAAGCCUUAACUUUUCAAAAUGACACCAGCUCAAAGGCCUUAGGAAGGAGGAAUAUUUUUUUAUAAGAAAAGAAGGUUUGGUGUGGUUUUGUGGGGGACCUCAGCUAUUGUGUACAUCUUGUACAUUACCAUUUUUCUCUAGUUAGGUAUGACUUUUUACAGAGGGAAAAGAGAGGAGGAGGUGGUAGGUUGUUUGGUAUUUGUUUGCUAAGUGCUAUGAUUGUGUUUAACCUUUUAAUUUCAUCAUCUUCCAUGGGGUUUGGGAUCUCUUUUUGGGGAGUAUAUAACAUUCUUAUGUUUUCCCUAAUCUUGGCCUUCUUCAAUAUGCUUCAUUUUUCCCAUUUUUUAGGUUUUUUUUUCUCCAUUUUGGUUGUGUUUCAUGGUAACUUCUAAGGAAACAUGACUUCUAAUGGAAUCCUUAACUUACAAUUUUGUGACUCU